GAUGAACGCUGGCGGCGUGCCUAAUACAUGCAAGUCGAGCGAACAGACGAGGAUCUUGCUCCUCUGACGUUAGCGGCGGACGGGUGAGUAACACGUGGAUAACCUACCUAUAAGACUGAGAUCACUUCGGGAAACCGGAGCUAAUACCGGAUAAUAUAUUGAACCGCAUGGUUCAUUAGUGAACGACGGUUUUGCUGUCACUUAUAGAUGGAUCCGCGCCGCAUUAGCUAGUUGGUAAGGUAACGGCUUACCAAGGCAACGAUGCGUAGCCGACCUGAGAGGGUGAUCGGCCACACUGGAACUGAGACACGGUCCAGACUCCUACGGGAGGCAGCAGUAGGGAAUCUUCGGCAAUGGGCGAAAGCUUGACGGAGCAACGCCGCGUGAGUGAUGAAGGUCUUCGGAUCGUAAAACUCUGUUAGUAGGGAAGAACAAAUGUGUAAGUAACUAUGCACGUCUUGACGGUACCUAAUCAGAAAGCCACGGCUAACUACGUG
rnacentral:rRNA from 1 species